rnacentral:tmRNA from 1 species
GGGGGUGACUUGGCUUCGACGCCGGUUGCGAAACCCAAGGUGCAUGCCGAGAGGGUAGUGACUCUCGUAAAACAAUCACUGUAACUAGUUAUAGUUGCCAACGACGAAAACUACGCACUAGCAGCAUAAACUCUGACCUUCGGGUCACUUUUUGUUAGCUAACCUCGGGGCGGAUGUGCCCAUGUAUUCAAACCGAGGGCAUCGACUCAUGGGACCGCUGCCAGACCCCGCUUGUGGUUAAAGCAGUCAGAAUGAAAGCAAGCUCGCUGCCUAAUCCCUGUUUGUCGGGCCAGUGGGCAGUUAAACAAUAGAUAAACUAAGCAUGUAGAGCCGAAGGCAGAGAACUGACGGACGCGGGUUCAACUCCCGCCACCUCCACCA